rnacentral:rRNA from 1 species
GACGAACGCUGGCGGCGUGCUUAACACAUGCAAGUCGAACGGAAAGGCCCUGCUUUUGUGGGGUGCUCGAGUGGCGAACGGGUGAGUAACAAGUGAGUAACCUGCCCUUGACUUUGGGAUAACUUCAGGAAACUGGGGCUAAUACCGGAUAGGAGCUCCUGCUGCAUGGUGGGGGUUGGAAAGUUUCGGCGGUUGGGGAUGGACUCGCGGCUUAUCAGCUUGUUGGUGGGGUAGUGGCUUACCAAGGCUUUGCCGGGUAGCCGGCCUGAGAGGGUGGCCGGCCACAUUGGGACUGAGAUACGGCCCAGACUCCUACGGGAGGCAGCAGUGGGGAAUCUUGCAGAAUGGGCGGAAGCCUGAUGCAGCAACGCCGCGUGCGGGAUGACGGCCUUCGGGUUGUAAACCGCUUUCGCCUGUGACGAAGCGUGAGUGACGGUAAUGGGUAAAGAAGCACCGGCUAACUACGUG